UUAUGGUUGCACUGUUUUCCUAGGUGGUUCUUCACGUUCCAAUUAAUGCAUGCUUGAUAUUCUUGUGAUAAGCAUAGAUACAAGGAUGGUUAGAGACACUUGCCUUUCUCCAAAAAAAAAGUUACUCUUACUGCUCUUCAGCUCUUGCUCUCUUGAAACUCUUAAUCUUGAAAUCUUUUGAAUAGCGAUCCCUCUACUCGAAGCAAUCAUCAGCACAAGCAUAUAAAACAAC
rnacentral:lncRNA from 1 species